GCGUUCGUGGUGCAGUGGUCAGCACGUUUGAUGCGUAACCGAGAGGUCCUUGGUUCGAUUCAUGGCGAAGGCG
rfam:Stegodyphus mimosarum contig32141, whole genome shotgun sequence.